GAGGCAGCUCCUGGAACCAAUCCCCAGUGGAUAUCAAGAUGAAGAGGUCUGAGACAGGAAGAGGAAGUACUACAGUGGGAGCUACACUGAAAGGCCUUCUCUGCCCACCUGGCCAUCUCAGUUUCAGGGGAAGGAGCUAUUACUUCAGAGUCAAAAGUCCAACUUCGGUCACCCCACAGAGAUGUGCAGCAUCAAUUUUGGAGAGCGAGGAGCCCACCUUACCUUUCAGCCAGUAUCUGUCACACUUGGGCAUUCGGAGAAGGCAGGUAUGUCACAGGGAUGUUCAUGUGUUUCAAAGCUCUAAGACCUGUUUGGUGUGGUGGUAGCAGUGAAGAGUGUACUACAUUCUGCCAAGGGGGCUUCUUACCUCUUGAGUCUUGGCACUUGGCACUGUCACUUUCCGAUAGGCUUUAAGAUCCAGGUGGAAACUCUAACAGCUACCGGGAUGAGGCCAUGUGCAGAAUGAACUGGACUGGCUACUAUGGCUUUUAUGACCUGCUUCCUUUCUUUAGUCUAGACAAUCUUUUUUCAUAUGCCCUGCUAGUUCUCAUAUAAAAUUUAAAAGGGCUAAAAGACCAAGGAAACUUCUUGCUUUCAAGCUGAAUGGUGAGAAACAGAAAAAAAAAAAAAAAAAAAUCCAUUUUCCAAAGA